ACUGAGCGGCGGACGGGUGAGUAACGCGUGGGUAACCUGCCUCGUACAGGGGGAUAACAGUUGGAAACGGCUGCUAAUACCGCAUAAGCGCACAGUACCGCAUGGUACGGUGUGAAAAACUCCGGUGGUAUGAGAUGGACCCGCGUCUGAUUAGGUAGUUGGUGGGGUAACGGCCUACCAAGCCGACGAUCAGUAGCCGACCUGAGAGGGUGACCGGCCACAUUGGGACUGAGACACGGCCCAA
rnacentral:rRNA from 1 species